rnacentral:tRNA from 1 species
AAGACUUGUAAAAUUUUAAUUCACAUCUGCUGAUUGCAACUCAACCGCUUUAACUUAAACUAAAGCCUC